AUUGAACGCUGGCGGCAUGCUUUACACAUGCAAGUCGAGCGGCAGCGCGGGGCAACCUGGCGGCGAGUGGCGAACGGGUGAGUAAUACAUCGGAACGUACCCAGAAGUGGGGGAUAACGUAGCGAAAGUUACGCUAAUACCGCAUACGUUCUACGGAAGAAAGUGGGGGACCUUCGGGCCUCAUGCUUUUGGAGCGGCCGGUGUCUGAUUAGCCAGUUGGUGAGGUAAAGGCUCACCAAGGCGACGAUCAGUAGCUGGUCUGAGAGGACGACCAGCCACACUGGGACUGAGACACGGCCCAGACUCCUACGGGAGGCAGCAGUGGGGAAUUUUGGACAAUGGGCGCAAGCCUGAUCCAGCAAUGCCGCGUGAGUGAAGAAGGCCUUCGGGUUGUAAAGCUCUUUUGUCAGGGAAGAAACGGCUGAGGUUAAUACCUUCGGCUAAUGACGGUACCUGAAGAAUAAGCACCGGCUAACUACGUGCCAGCCGCCGCUGUAACAC
rnacentral:rRNA from 1 species